AUGAUCGCGCCUGAUAAAAACCGAAAGGUGUCAGGUGAGGAAAGUCCGGGCUUCACAGGGCAGGAUGCCGGAUAACGUCCGGUGGAGGUGACUCCAAGGCCAGUGCAACAGAAAUAAACCGCCUGCAGUGCAGGUAAGGGUGGAAAGGCAGUGUAAGAGACUACCGCCCAUCUGGCAACAGACGGGGCACAUGUAAACCCCAUCCGAAGCAAGACCGAAUAAAAAGCAAUGUGGUUGCCCGUCACGCUUUUAGGUGGGUCGCUAGAGACUGCCGGCGACGGCAGUACCAGAUAGAUGAUCAUUCACGACAUAACCCGGCUUAUCGUUCUGCUUG
rnacentral:RNase_P_RNA from 1 species